AGAUUCUGUUAUUGAAGAAAA
ensembl:piRNA 21ur-1617 ncRNA